UGGAGAACGCAUCUCUACAACAGUCGAGUAUUGCUGCUGUUGUCAGUUGGAGAAUAUGUUGCUAAGCAAAUGCGAGGAUGAAAAUAAUAGCCUUAAUUCUGAAGUCAAUGUCAAACUUGAUGUGUUUCACAUACGCAAGUCUCGCUGGAGUGACAGAACAUUAACUGUAAAAGUGUCUGAUGAUGGUGAAGUUGUUGCAACAGGAGUUACUUAUCCUUUCGGAGAAGGGACACCAUGAUUAAUACCAUGCCAAUUGACCAAACGGGCCCAGGAAGAUAGGUUUGGGAGUUCAGGACAGAUACAUGCGUCGGUGAAUGCAUGCGUGGAACUGCAAGUUUCUGCUAAAUGCAUUUGAUUUCUUUGGCGGUAUAACUCCUUGGCAUAUCCUUGUACCGAAAAUACUGGUGCAGGCAAGCGACUGCUGUUUCCUUUCUGCAUGAAAACGGGAACCGUCAUGUGAGCUGACUCUGUACAUUUGUGGAUGCUUGUUGAGUCCCUACUUCAUGUAUGUCUUGUUCGAUGAACAAACAAAUAUCCUGGUCCACUGAAUGAACAGAAGUUGAGGAUCCUGAAAGUGCAUACUUACAAUUCAAAAGCGGAACCACUUUGAUUUUUGUGGUAA